AAAAUAUAUACACAAAAGCAUUCAUGAGUACUUUACAAUUUGCGAAGAACGGGGAGUUGAAAGAUUCUGCUUAUAUGUUCAUACAUACAUAUACUAUUCGAAAUAAAUUUUUAUAGAUCGACGCGUUCAUACAUUUGUACAUAUACAUGCAAAUACUUUAUGGCUUCGGAUAUACCUCUUUAUUCCUGUUGAAUGCCUUUGCACAAAAUCAUGUUAUCCUUUUUAUUAUUAUUAUUAAGUGAUAUUUUAAGUGGCAGCCGUGUAUAAUGCAUGUACAUAUAUAGUAUAUGUGUUUAUGUAUGAUGUGUAGAAAAGUGGCGCGACCAUCAACGCGUACAACACAAUAAUCAAAAUAUAUUUUUUAUUUUGUA